CCAGAGCUUGAGAGUGGCCUAGUUGGGAUUUAGACCCAGCCGGCCUUCCUCCCUGCCCAGGGCAGUCAGCCUCAGUACACAUCUCGCCUGCCUGGCAUGAACCCGGGUGUGAGGCCGGGGCUCGGAAGACCUGGAACCCAGACCCAGAUGCUCUACCUUCCUGUGCUCGGUCUCCUCAUCUGAGCUGGGAUGAAAAGACUCCCACACACUUCCUGCCAGCCUCACUUGGGGAAAUUAGAGGGAUUCCAGUAGGCCAGCUCUGUGGGAGAGCAGUUUGGGGUUCAUAGCAAAACUGAGCAGCUGGUUCAGAGAUUUCCCACGUACCUGAUCCCCCUGUUCGCAUUUUCACAGGUCUGAGGAAGUGACACAGCUCCAUGGAGGCUGGAACAGGAGUGACAGCAGCCCCGAGUUCUGGUGAGCUGUCAUCUCUUCCCACUUCAUUUACCAAGAACAGAGGCCAUGCUCCCAGGAGUCCAGAGCUCCCAGAGUUACCACGAGAGCUUUUGAAAGGAAGAGCCUGCAGCCUGGAGCUAAAGUUGGUGGCUGUGCCCUGCCAGCCAAGGGCAGGUUCUCACAGGACGAGGCUCAUGUCCUUCCCUGCACCACAACCUAAAAAUGUCCAUGAGGGAGGGUGCUGGCUCGGUGAGUUACGAUCCAUCUGCACAAUGGAAAAUUACACAGCUGUUAAAAUAAUGUGGCCGUUAUGUAGCCACUGAUUCGGAAUCAUCCCCAAAUUAUGUUGUUUGGCGAAAAAGCCCAGUACCAAGCAGUAUACACGGCACUUCGUGAGAAGGAUGCAUUCAAGCCUGUAUAUGGCAGAAGUCUCUCUGGAGGAAUACAGAAAAGCUGGCAUCAGAGGAGCCUUUGGAGAAGGGAAUUGGGGGAGGAGGGGUGGGGGGAUUCGAUUCUGACGAUA